GCCUAGUUAGCUUAGUUGGUAGUGCGUCUGCCUUGUAAGCGCUAGGCCGUGGGUUCGAUUCCCGCCCUGGGCG
rnacentral:tRNA from 1 species